CCGCCUCUGGUACACCUGCGGCCCAGCCGCAGGUACACCUGCGGCACAUAUUGCCUAUAAAUAGAGGGCUUGGGGUGCUGAUUUUUAAGAGAAAAAAGACGGGGAAACCCUGUACAAUUUGCUCUGCACUUGUCGUACAGUGUAUUUUCCCACUUUCAAACACCUGUGAGCUCAUAUAUAGCCUCUUUUGUACCCACAAAAGCCCAGUGUUUAACCACUCUAAAGAUAUAGAAGCCCUUUUUAUCAGUCAGCUGUAAGCCUUCUCACACACUUUAGAGUUUUUCUCUUCAUC
rnacentral:lncRNA from 1 species